rnacentral:rRNA from 1 species
UACGGAGGGUGCGAGCGCUGUCCGGAAUCACUGGGCGUAAAGGGCGCGUAGGCGGCCUGAUAAGUAGGGGGGUGAAAUCCUGCGGCUUAACCGCAGGGCUGCCUUCUAAACUGUCAGGCUCGAGCACAGUAGAGGCAGGUGGAAUUCCCGGUGUAGCGGUGGAAUGCGCAGAUAUCAGGAGGAACACCAAUAGCGAAGGCAGCUCGCUGGGACGGUACUGACGCUAAGGCGCGAAAGCGUGGGGAGCGAACAGG